UGUGGGUCCCACCUAGGCAGGACGUGGGUCCCACAUACAGUAUGUGGGUAGGCAGGACGUGGGUCCCACAUACAGUAUGUGGGUCCCACAUAGGGAAGGAAGUCCUAGUCAUACUAGGAUCAUAAUUGAUUUUAAUCCAAUUUGACUCAAGCCAAAUCUGAUUUGGUUGGAGGCAAAUUAGACAUUUUCACCAAACCAAUUUUGGUGUCAAUUACGGUUUUACCAAUUUCAAAUCAUAUUUGAAUUUGGUCAAGCCCAAUCUCUAUUACUCAAUCAAAUUGAGUCUAAUCAGUGAUCCAAUCACCAAUUAACUUCUCCAAGCAAAAUUGCUUAGGGCAAUCAGUCAAUCACAUUGACUAUUUUACCUCUAGACGAUUCUCAAUCGUCAAUCAGCCAUUUGAUCAAUCCAGAAACUUCUAAGCGUGUGACCUCACAGGUUCGAACCUAAGCCGGUAGUACAAGAACACUUCCUGCACUAAUCGAAGUAACCAUCUAGCAAUGGGACCCGACGACCGGAUAGGCCGAAUAGAUGCAAAGCAACAUUCUAGAACCUAUGGACUAUGGUUACUGCAUAAUUCAUCCUCUUGACCAGAAAAUGCCCAAGAUGGGUUUAGAGUCUGUCUACCCUGAAACGAUCCAUCCGGAAAUAUGUUUCAAUUCAAUAAGUCAAGUGAUAGUGAUUUGACUUUUCCUGGCCAGGGUACUACUUAAUUGAAAACACAAGGCAUUCACCCUUAUUUCUAAGGGAGGUCAAUCCCAUCUUGAUCUGCAACUGACUACCACAAGUACUUGACUGGACCCAGAAACCUUUCGUCGCUGGAUUAGAAAUUCAGGUAGUCCGGCACCAAAGUACAGUGAGUUGCUUGCAAGCCACCGGUUGCAAUCUCAGGUCUAAAGGAUACAUAUACCCAUAUCCACUCGGAACAACUCUUGACAAGAGAGAGUCCGUCAAUUGGUCACGUUCAGUGAACGUACACUACCAUUCACCUGUAUACCAUACUAGUAUCUCUAUACUCUUUGGUUUGGAAGACAACCAACAAAUAUGAUACACAAUGACCUACGCCUGAUAAUACUAUCGUCCUAUUAAUAGUAUAUCAUACGGUCAUGAACAUUUAAGGAUCUGUGUGACAAAAUCAUAUUUCAUUACAUAAAGCAGUCCUAAGGACUUCAUCACAUCAGAGUUUGUGAAGAUGUUCUGGCGAUGAAUAAAUACCAUGUAAUUUAUAAUUGAUUCAAAUACAUUUACAAUCAACAAUUGAUUGGAUUUAGGAUACAAUUUCCAACAACUCCCACUUGACCUAAAGCCAAUCAGCACAGUAUCGUAUACCCAUCUUCAAGUAAUGAUGGUCAAACUC
rnacentral:lncRNA from 1 species